rnacentral:rRNA from 1 species
UACGGAGGAUCCAAGCGUUAUCCGGAUUUAUUGGGUUUAAAGGGUGCGUAGGCGGCCUAUUAAGUCAGGGGUGAAAGACGGUGGCUCAACCAUCGCAGUGCCUUUGAUACUGAUGGGCUUGAAUGAACCUGAGGUAGGCGGAAUGUGACAAGUAGCGGUGAAAUGCAUAGAUAUGUCACAGAACACCAAUUGCGAAGGCAGCUUACUAUGGUUUAACUGACACUGAGGCACGAAAGCGUGGGGAUCAAACAGG